rnacentral:ncRNA from 1 species
AAAGGUGCUCAAUUUGAGCUUAAAAGGGAAUUCGGUGAAAAACCGAAGCUGUUUCCGCAACUGUAAAUGUAGACGACCACAGAGUAUACCACUGUCGAAUGAAGAAAAAUGCUUCUAGUAGAUGGGAAGGUUCUGAAUGGGAUACAUGAGCCAGGAGACCUACCUUUAUUUU